AACGAACGCUGGCGGCAUGCCUAACACAUGCAAGUCGAACGAGACCUUCGGGUCUAGUGGCGCACGGGUGCGUAACGCGUGGGAACCUGCCCUUAGGUUCGGAAUAACUCCCCGAAAGGGGUGCUAAUACCGGAUAAUGUCUUCGGACCAAAGAUUUAUCGCCUUUGGAUGGGCCCGCGUUGGAUUAGCUAGUUGGUAGGGUAAAAGCCUACCAAGGCGACGAUCCAUAGCUGGUCUGAGAGGAUGAUCAGCCACACUGGGACUGAGACACGGCCCAGACUCUUCCGGAGGCAGCCGGUGGGAAUAUUUGACCAUGGGCGAAAGCCUGAUCCAGCAAUGCCGCGUGAGUGAUGAAGGCCUUAGGGUUGUAAAGCUCUUUUACCCGGGAUGAUAAUGACAGUACCGGGAGAAUAAGCUCCGGCUAACUCCGUG
rnacentral:rRNA from 1 species